rnacentral:lncRNA from 1 species
AGAGAGAGAGAGAGAGAGAGAGAGAGAAAGAGAGAGAGAUAUGGAAAUUUAUUAAAGUUGAACACAUUUCUAUUUCACCUAUAUUUUUAAGGGAAAAUGUUUACAUAAGGUUGCAACCUUAAAAUGUAGAAUUAAAUAUGCACCUCAAAAAUCCGCCAAAAAAUGUUGUUUUAAUGUUGAAAACCCUCUAAUUGAUCAUCUCGACAUCGAGAGGUAUGAAUAUGAAAAAAAAAAGAAGAGAUUUUACGUUCCAGAGUGCAUCUUGCAACACAUUUCUAGAUUGUCUAUUUUCAAGAUUUUCAUGUGCUUAUAUAUCUACUUACAUUUUUGGAGUUCAAAAUUUUAUAAUUAGAAAUGAAAUUAGAUUUUCAGAUAAUCUUAAGAAUAUUUUACACCAAAAUUACAUGUUAUGAUAAAAUUUGGAGGUGCGCCUUGAUUGGAUUGUUUAAGGUUGCAACCUUAUACAGACCACACCCAUUUUUUAUUAAAUUCCAAAAUACCAAAAAAAAAAAAAAAUGGUCUUCAGAUGAAAUACGAUACUAUUUUACAAUAUUAUAUCAUAUUCUAUUUUAUAUUUAUUUUAUUAAUAUAAUUUAUAUAUUUAUUUUAGUAAUGUAAUUUAUUUUAUUAAUGUAAUUUAUAUUAUAUAAUAUAUAUUGAUUACAUAUUAUAAAUAAUAUACAAUAUUAAUAUAUUUUAAUUAUAUAUUGAUCACUGAAAAAGUAUUGCUUCAGGUUCCUAAUCAUGUUCUCCGAAACCCAAUUAUGCUUAUAAUAUUUAUUUUUUUCCUUUUUUUAUGUGAUAUAAAAUAACAAUACAUGUAAAUUUUAAAUAUUUUUUACAAUUUUUUGGGAUUUUUUACCAAUAUUGUAUUUUUCAAAAAAUUUGGGGCACUAAUCAACCGAUCUAGUCGGAAUCGGUCGAACUAAUCGGAUCGGGCAAAGACCAACUAAUCCACCCAAUCAGUUGUUUUGAGUACUAGUUCUGAUAUCUUAUUUUCUGGAAAAUAUAUUGCUUGUAUUUAUUCGUACACUUUUUUAAAGGAAACUUAUUAAUAAAAAUUUUCAAUUUUUUUUUUUAAAAUUAAGUUUUUUAAUUUAGUCCCAUUGUUAAUACACUUAUCUUUCAACUAAAAUUUAAUAAUAUUAAGUUAAUGGAGAAAUAAAGUUAUAAGGGAGAAGUUUGUAAAAAGAUAAAAUACGGAUUUAUAUCAGUCCCACUAAAAAACUGUAAUUUUUCACAAAUCUUUUGAAAAACUAGGAAUUCUUAACAAAUUUAAAAAACUCGGACAUUUUUUGAAAAAAUGGUGUUUUAAAUGGAGUAUCAAUACACGCCUAAAGUCACAUAAUUAACCAAAGGAGCUCAGUGCUUCGUUUUUACUGUGGAGAUUACCUAGAUAAGUCGAUCUUUACGAGGAAAUUUUAUUAAGGCACACAAAAAAUUUUAACAUCUCAGGUGUUUUUUUAUACAAUUUCAAAAUGAGCUUUGUUGUUUUUAUAGAAUUUCCAAUUCCUUGUCAAAAGAUACGUAAUCACAAGUUAGAACAGUUGAAAUUUUAGGUUUGUUUUGGUAAAUAUUUAAAAUAUUAAAUAGUUGAUGGUUUAGGUAUAGUUUGGUAAAUUUUGAUACGAAAUUUCUAAGGAAAUGUUUACAAUGAAACCAUUUAUCUAUUAUACAAGAAAGUUACAAUCAUCGGUGACCGUUAUAUUUCAAAUCAAGUAGUUGAGGAUUUAUUACUGUUUGGGCACAAAGUCAAUAAUAAAUUAUAUAUCGAAUAUUGUGAUGCACUUUCAUCUAUUGGCUAAAAGUGAUUUUGUGCUCCUUGUAUCACAUUUGGUUCAUGAACAAUUUCAAACAAAGAUAAAAAGAAGACCAGUUUUAACUUAAAAUAUUGGAUUUGAUGAACAUUCAAUGGAUCUUUUUGGAGGGUAAAUUGAAUUGGAGCAUUCUUUGAGCUCCAAAAUAAUUUUUUCAUUUAAUUUUUUCUUUAAAUUGAUCUUAGAUAGUAACAUGGGACCUAGCGGGAAUUGGAAUUUAGAACGUCACAUUUUGGCACAAACCACCUCUGCCUCAAGCCCAUUCCAGACCAAUUACAUCUUUUUCCCUUAAUUUUAAAAUGAUAAAUAUCAAUUAAUCAUUUUUUAAAGCUGAAUUUUAUCAGGGAUUGUCUAUAAAAAGAUCAUUUAUCUGUUGUAUAUAGAGGUCACAAUCAUUCUUGUCACUUAAAUUUCAAAGUGGGUAGUUGCAAGAGUGUCAUUGAAUAAACAUAAAGUUCUAAAAAAAAUUCACAGACUUUGUGACUCACCCUAAGCUAUCCAAGUUGAAAUUUAAUAAGUAUGACUGAUUGUGACCUUUAUGUAUAAAAGAUAAAAUGUGUCUUUGUAAGCAAUUCUAGUUUGUUAUUUAGUGAUGAUUAGCAAAAAUGACUAAAUACCAUUUAUGCCUGAAAGCCACGUCCAUAUUUUGUAAGAUAUCAUUAUUCCUGAGCAAUCCAUUCUUGGCUCAUUAUAUAUUGAUAAAACUAGUUUCUUGAAAGGGACGAUACCUUUAGAAAAAUGGUGGUGAGCAGGGGAGCAACUUUAUCUUUACAAAUCAUGGGAGUACUAUGUUUUAUAGUCACAGUUCAUGGGCAAGGCCAAGGAGGUAUGUAUCUAUUCAAACUACACAGCUAUUUGUAUAUGGGGAAGUUCGUUUUAGGGAAAAUAUCUCCAUACUUUCUAUUUUUAAGUUUUAUAUCUUAAUAAACUCAAGGUUUCAAAACAUAUCUUGGGUCAUAGAAAUUCUAAGUUUUAUAUCUUCUAUCCCUUUGAGCUAACUUUUAUCCCUUUUAAACCCUUUUUUUUUACUU